rnacentral:rRNA from 1 species
UACAGAGGGUGCAAGCGUUGUUCGGAAUUAUUGGGCGUAAAGCGCACGUAGGCGGCAUCGCAAGUCGGAUGUGAAAUCCCUCGGCUCAACCAAGGAAGUGCAUCCGAAACUGCAGUGCUUGAGUACAGAAGAGGAUCGCGGAAUUCCCGGUGUAGAGGUGAAAUUCGUAGAUAUCGGGAGGAACACCAGUGGCGAAGGCGGCGAUCUGGGCUGAUACUGACGCUGAGGUGCGAAAGCGUGGGGAGCAAACAGG